ACCCCCUGGCAGUGAGCGAGGAGACACCUGAUGGCUGGUGUUGGUCUUAUAUCAGUCAGAGACAAAUUAAAGACACAGUCCUUGUUCAUCUUAGCUUGAUACCUGGGUUGGUGGCUAGAGCUUUUUCAAGCCUGGAGCAUAUAA